CAAAGUGGUAAUACAACACUCGUUUCGUCAGAUCGAGUGUCGGAUGCAACUUGGCGCAACUGCGACGUAAGACAUAAGUAAGAUCUGGAAUGGUACAAUUUGAUGUUCAAAUUAUUUGGACUUUUCUCGAUUAUCUAUCGAAUUGAUUUGGUAGUUUUCGGUAGCAUGGAAUCGUUAUUCAAUCGAGGCUCGUGAAAUUAUUCAAGAAAAUCAUGGUUGGUACCGAAGUGACACAGUGAAGCGUAAUCUAAUUUUCAUACAAAGUGAGCGAUCGGAAGCCAUCAGUUAAUUAGUAGUUAACAUAAUUUUAGUUGAAGGCAUUCGCGUCACUGUCCAAUGAAUGCAUCCUCUUUGUUGUGCGAUGACAGUGACUUUAUCACAACGUCAAAUGAAAGGCUUUUUUUAUCAUACGUUUUUCAUUGACCAUGCAAUUGACACCCAAUCCCCAUCAAUGCGCUAACUUAAAUAUGAUCACUCAUAAAAAUUCACUUUCCACAGUUAAAACAAAUAUUCCAAGUUAUAUAUUCCAUACAAUUCGAUUAUGUUAAUAGCGAUCCGUGACAAAAAAAGAAUUCACGUUCAUGAAUAAUUGCACGAGAAUGCUUCGCUGGCCAUUCAAUUCAAAUUGGCCGGUAGUCUUAAUUACAGCUUAACGCACUGCGUGCCAAUUCAUAACGUGACAAAGCUGUCUAUUACAUAUUUAAUAUACUGUUUAAUCACAAAUUGACUGCAUUCGUGCUACUUUGACGUUAUAAAUCGAUAAUAUCUCAAAAAUUCCUACAGCAUAGAAUCAUCACAAUUCAAAUCCUCAUUUUAUCUCAUUAGCUGCAACGAAUAUUUUUCGCUGGACGUUUCGGAAUGUUAUUCGCGACAGCGCUGCAAUUUUCCUGUUUGUUGUUUGUAACGUCAAUCCGCUUUAUCGGAAGAAUAAUAGUUACAAACGCGACGGCGUAUCAAUAAAAAGGCACAAGAUUUUUAUAAGCUAUUAAUGUGUCUUAUCGACGAAAAGUUAGCGAAACUAUAAAAUUAGGUCCGGCGAAGCGGAGGUGCGAUCGCGGAAAUGGAAAGCCGAGCAUGCCGAGGUCGUCAGCGAUUGAUGCCACGCUACCUGGCCCCGCGGCUAUAAUAAUGACGUUUGCGCAGCGGUCCGCGCUGAUUCACUCCACGUGUUUUCACCUAUGCCGCGUUGUCAUUAGCCUGUUAAUGUGGUUUCGGGUGUGACGUGUCGGUUUUACAUAAAACCUGGAGAGAGUCCUAAUAUUUUCGUUUUUCCAGCUUUAACGCUCUGCGUAAUUUAUAGUUAGGUGCUGCGAAUACGUCGCGCCACAUUUGUUCUGCUUCGAGAUAAGAGAUUUGCGUUACGGCUUUUAAAAAUAUUUUCACGACGUACCGUUCGACGAAUUCGAAAAAAUGACGAUGUAUCGUCGAUAAAAAUAUUUACUUGUCUUUAUAUGCACCGACGCUGGACAUUUUGAAACCCAUUUUAAUUAUAGCGCGAGUUGAGCUCAUUUAACCAAACCAAUUUGAUUCCAUUGAUGUUCUUUUUAUAAACUCUUUGUCAAUUAGCAUACUUUUAUACAAACUCCGAAAUUGUAUUUUGUCAUUGUCGAAUAUAUAUUAUUAUCGAAGUAAUUCGUUGAUAUGUCGAUGUCAUAUAAGCUGUCACCAAAAUGUUCUUUCGAAUUGUAUCGUUGUAGUAACAAUAUUAAUAAAUAAUAAAAUGAAACUCUA